AAAAGAGCCAAGCACAGACAGAAGCCCAGUCACCUCUGCUUUCCCCUCUACCAGGCCAAACCCAGCCACUGUUGAAUGCUGCUGUGUGAGUGAGAACUGACCAAAGAAUCUUGGGAAAGAGUCAUAGAAUGGUACAAGAGAAUAGAAUCACAGAACACAGAAUAGAGAGAAUAGAGAAUAGAAUCACAGAAUCACAGAAUCUUGGGAAAAGGUAGAUCAUUGUUGUUUAAAGUCUCCAGAUUUUAAUGUGAUUUGUUACACAGCAAUAGAUAACUGAUACAUGUGGAUGAGAUCUUACUGGGCAAAAGAAAUUUCAAGUUCCUUGAAAUUUGGGAAGUGCUUGCACUGAGCCAGAUUAUGCCCAGAGGAAGUCAUGAGCACAGUGGGCUCCGCGUGCUCUGUCACACAGUGACGUGGAUACUGGAGAUGCUACAGGAGCCACAAGAAGCUGGAGCAUUACGGAUUGGGGCACAGUGGCAGUCUUCCAUGUUGUUGGAAGGGAACAAUAUGUACCUGGUUUUGCAUCUGGAAUUAUCUUCUUUAUCCAGUAUUCCCAAGGAUUAG
rnacentral:lncRNA from 1 species